CCUACGGGUGGCAGCAGUAGGGAAUCUUCGGCAAUGGGGGGAACCCUGACCGAGCAACGCCGCGUGAACGAAGAAGUUAUUCGUAAUGUAAAGUUCUUUUAACAGGGAAGAAAGAGAAAUUUGACGGUACCUGAAGAAUAAGCUCCGGCAAACUACGUCCCAGCAGCCGAGGUAAUACGUAGGGAGCGAGCGUUAUACGGAUUUAUUGGGCGAAAAGGGUGCGUAGAUGGCAUAGUAAGUCGUUUGUAAAAAUGCUGGGCUAAACCCAGUAGGGCAAAAGAUACUGCAAAGCUAGAGUAUGACAGAGGCAAGUGGAACUACAUGUGUAGCGGUAAAAUGCGUAAAUAUAUGUAAGAACACCAGUGGCGAAGGCGGCUUGCUGGGUCGAUACUGACAUUGAGGCACGAAAGCGUGGGGAGCAAACAGGAUUAGAUACCCUUGUAGUC
rnacentral:rRNA from 1 species